rnacentral:lncRNA from 1 species
CAUUUCCCUCCAAGAAAGUGUUGCUACUGUAAUUAGUGCUAUUCUUUUGAUGCAUCCAAGCAUAAUUUUCUGAAUAUCUCAUUUGUUUUCAUUAGGUUGUCAUGGAAAUCUGGGAAAUCAUUGACUUGCGAUGGAUUUCCUUGAAGUUCAGCAGCUAUGUCAUUGGACUUCAGGUUACGAUUUGAUCAGCAUAAAGCUACGAAAGGCAAUGGUUGCAGAAUAUCAGAGAAAUCUGCACCAAGCAGUCUCAGACCAGCAGGCAGUCACAAUAAUGUUUGAUGCAUGAUGGAGAGUACUACAGGAUUUACAACUGUUACCAGGUAAAAAUAGUAACGUAUCAUUUAUUUAUGGAAAUUAUUUCUGGGUUUCUUACUUCUAGGUAUAAAUCACAAAAUCAUGGAAACAUAGAAUGAUUUGGGUUGGAAGGUACCCCAAAGAUCGUGUAAUCAUAGAACCAUAGAAUGGUUUGGGUUGAAAAGGACCCUUAACAAUCGAUCAUCUUGUUCCAACACCCCUACCAUGGGCAGGGACACCUCUCACUAGACUGGGUUGCUGGGAUGGGGCAUCCACAGCUUCUCUGGACAACCUGUUCCAAUGCCUCACCACCCUCAUCACAAAUAAUUUCUUCCUAAUAUCUAAUCUAAGCCUACCUUGUUUUAGUUUAAAACCAUUACCCCUUGUCCUGUUGCUACACUCCCUGAUAAAAAGUCUCUCCCCAUUUUUCCUGUAGGCCCCCUUUAAGUGCUGAAAAGUCAGUAUAAGGUCUUUCGCUCUCUAGACUGAUCAACUUUCUCAGCCUCAGCCUGUCUUCAGAGAAGUGCUCCAGCUCCCUGAUCAUUUUUGUGGCCAUCCUCCUGACCCAUUUUAAAAGAUUUGUGUCUUUCUCAUGCCCCAGAGCUGAACUCAGUACUCCAGGUGGGGUCUCACAAGAGCAGAGUAGAGGGGAGAAUGAAGGUGAAGUCUGGAACAAAGAGCUCUCAAUAGAGAAAAAGAGAAGCAAAAACUCUCUGUGGAGAAAAGAAAUGAAGACCAAAUCAAACAUUCAAAUCUUUUUAGUUUGCACAGCAUGUUAUACUUCAUGCAGAAGGAGCCACUUGAAAUUCAAAACAGCACUUCAUACUUAAUCACCUUCCACACUGCACAGGGUGUGCUAACAUUUGUGCAUAUUUAAGGAGCAGUUACAUACAUGGGAAUGAAGAAUUAUUUGACACUAAUAAAAACUAAUACCCAUGUGGGUUACA